UAGGGAAUCUUCCGCAAUGGACGCAAGUCUGACGGAGCAACGCCGCGUGAGUGAAGAAGGAUUUCGGUUCGUAAAACUCUGUUGUUAGAGAAGAACAGCGCAUAGAGUAACUGUUAUGCGUGUGACGGUAUCUAACCAGAAAGCCACGGCUAACUACGUGCCAGCAGCCGCGGUAAUACGUAGGUGGCAAGCGUUGUCCGGAUUUAUUGGGCGUAAAGCGAGCGCAGGCGGUCAAUUAAGUCUGAUGUGAAAGCCCCCGGCUCAACCGGGGAGGGUCAUUGGAAACUGGUUGACUUGAGUGCAGAAGAGGAGAGUGGAAUUCCAUGUGUAGCGGUGAAAGGCGUAGAUAUAUGGAGGAACACCGGUGGCGAAAGCGGCUCUCUGGUCUGUAACUGACGCUGAGGCUCGAAAGCGUGGGGAGCGAACAGG
rnacentral:rRNA from 1 species